rnacentral:lncRNA from 1 species
GAGAAACCCUGUCUCAGAAAAAAAAAAAAGAAAGAAAGAAAAGAAAAGAAAUAGUAAUAAAAAGGCCUUCCAAAAAAAAAAAAAAAAAAAGUCCAGGACCUGAUGGACUCACAGCAGAAUUCUACCAGACUUAGAACGAAGGUCUACAGCCAGUCCUUAAACUAGUCAAACAGAGGAGCACUCCCCAGAGAAGGAACACUCCUGAACUCUAUGAAGCCAGUAUUACUCCAAUAUCCAAACUAGGUAAAGACACAACUAAAGAAAGCUACAGACCUAUAUCCCCGAAGAAGAUGCUCAAAACUGCUCAGUAAAAUACUUGCAAAGAGAGCACACACAUGAAGAUCACACACCACGAUCAUGAUCACGCACCAUGAUCAUUUGGCUUUAUCCCUGAAAUGCAGGGAUGGUUCAUCAUAUCCAAGUCAAAAAAAAAUGUAAUAAACCACAUAAAAGAACUUACCAAUAAAAAUCAUGCGAUAUCUCAAUAGAUGCAGAAAAAGGCUUAGGUAAAAUCCAGCAUGCCUUCAUGAUAAAAAAUGUUAUAGAAUGUAGAACUAUAGGGACCAUACCCCAACAUUAAAUACAUAUAUACGAAACCCACAGCCAACAGCAUCAGCUUACAUGGAGAAUGCCCACAAUCCCCACUCCUUUUCAAUAUUGUGCUGGAAGCACACUAACUGGACCAAUGAAGCAAGAGGAGAUUAAAGGAAUACAAAUAGGGAAAGAAGUCAGCCCAUCCUUAUAUGCAUGAUACUAUACUGAAGCGAUCUCAAAAGUUCCACCAGAAAAAAAAUUCAGAAAUCUGGCAGAUAUAGAGUCAGCUUGUCCAAAUCAAUAGCUUUUCUCUUCCAUACACCAACAAGAAACACCCAGUUCAUGGGCACACUCCCAUUCAGUAUGACCUCAGAGAAAAGAACAUCAAAGAGAUGAGCCUAAUAGUGGAGGUGAAGGACCCCUUCAGUGAAAACAUUAAGCCUCCUAAUAAAGAGAUAAAGACACUAGAAAAUAGAAAAAACAUCCACGCUCAUGGAUUGGUAGAAUAUGAAAAUGGUCAUAAUCUAUUUACAGAUUGAAUGCAAUUCCAAUCAAAAUUCCUAUCUCAUUCUUUACAGAAAAAAAAUAAAAUAAAAACUAUCCUAAAACUUCAUAUGGAACUACAAAAGACCUUGGAUAGCCAAAACAAUCCUAAGCAAAAACAAAGGGUUUACAAUUCCAGAUCCAAGAUAUAUUCAAGAUCCAUAAAAACAACACGGUUUUGGCACACACAAAAAAUAGACUUGUGGACCAACAGAACAAAACUGAAGACCUAAACAUGAGCACAUACAACUUUAGCCACUUAAUAUUUAACAAAGAGGCCAAAAAUAUAUUCUGGCAAAAAGAAAACUUCUUCAACAAAUGGUGCUGGGGAAACUGGAUGUCCACAUGUGCAAAGGAUGAAAAGAGACAUCUAUGACCUUGUCCAGAAACUAAGUCCAAAUGGACCAAAGGCCUAGACAGGAAACACCAAAGCUGCUAGACGAGAGCACAGGUGGUACCCGGCACCACGCGGCUGCAGGAGAGGGCAUGAGUGAUAUCCGGCACCAGGAGGCUACAGGAGAGAGAGAGGGCAUGGGUGGUACCCGGCACCAUGCAGCUGCAGGAGGAGAGGACAGCCUGCGCAGGACUCCACCCACCCAAUAACUGAGGCCAGCAACUGACAGGUGGAACGUCAUGAAACUAAACAGCUUCUGCACAGCCAAAGAAACAAGCAACUGGGUGAAGAGGAAGCUCACAGAAUGUAGAGAAUCUUAACAGCUGUACUCUGACAGAGGGUCAGUAUCCAGAAUAUAUACAAAAUUCAAGAAUAAGAGUCAAAAAACAAUUAUGACCCAUUAAAAAAAGGGGGGCCUGGGACCCAAAUACAGUUCUCAAAAGAAAAAGAAACAACAACAACAAACUAAGAAAUGUCUUUAAAACCAUCUCAUCACCCCGAGCAAUUAGGGAAAGAGAAAUCAAAGCAACUUUGGGAUUCCAUCCUACCCGUGUCAGAAAGGCAAAGAUCAUUGGAACAUCCAAGGAUAACGCUAGAGGGGAUGUGGGAAAAAAAUAACACUCAUUCACCGUUGAUGGAUUCCAAACUGGUGCAUCCACUAUGGAAAUCAGUGUGGAGUUUCCUCAAAGAGCUAAAAAUAAAUCUAUGUAUGACCCAGCUCUGCUGCUCUCUGGUAUAUGCCCAAAGACUCACACACGCCAUGUGUGAACACAGCCAUGGUCGGUGAAGUUCUAUUCACAAGAGCUAGGGAACGGAAACAACAGAAAUGUCCUACGACUGAAGGAUGGAUCACGGGCACAUAUGCACACGGCAGAAUACUGUUCAGCGGUAAAGAAGACGUCAACCAUGAACUUUGCAGAUGGCCCAGGCUGCCCUUAAACAUUCUGUGUAGCCACGGAUGGUCUUGAACUCUCGAUCCUCGACUCUACUUCUGUCCUGCUAGGAUUACAGCGGACGCUGGAGAUGGACCAUCUCAUAAAGACCAGUAAACACGAUGACAAGGCUCAGAAAGAUCAUCUUAAGCGAAGGAAGCCAUACAUGAAGGCUGUAGGAUGUUACUGAAAAGACGGAGCUUUAAGGGUGGGGCUGGCGUGGUGAUGACUGGUUGUGAAGUGUCACUACAAAUCCUGGUUUGACAGACAGGUUCUGCACUUUAAUUAUAGUGGUAGUUACCCGUCUUGUUUAUUCAAAACUCAGAACUGGGGUCUGGUGAGAUGGCUCAGUGGUUACAGCACUUGUUCUUGCUGAAGAUCCAGGUUGGGUUCUCAGCUCCCACAAUGCAUAUCUCACAACUCCUAGUAAUUAUAGGUCGGCUGCUUCUGCCCUCCUUAGGCACCAGGCACGCACACACACAAACAUGAAGACAAAAACACUCAUGCACAGAGCGAGGCCGGAGCGAGAAGGAAAAAAAAGAAGUGAAAAGACCCAAAGUUAGGAAUAAAAACAAUUAAAAAAAAACAAAAAAAAAAAUAACUCAUACACAUUCUUUUAAGAAAUCCCAAAACUAAAGCAAUAGUUAACUCAGAUGGGGCCAAUGAGAUGGCUCAGCAGGUAGCUAAGGUGCCAGCCAUCGAGUCUGAGGUUCCUCUCCAGGAACCAACUGGUGGAUGAAGAGAAACAGCUCCCCCAAGGUGCCCUCUGACUUCCACCCACAUAUGUGGCACAUUCCUGCUCCUCAUGCAUACACAAUAAAUGUAAUUUUAAAAUUUGAAAAGAAAACUCAGAACUGUAAACCCAG